rnacentral:rRNA from 1 species
AGAGUGAACGCUGGCGGCAGGCCUAAUACAUGCAAGUCGAACGGCAGCACGGCAGAGCUUGCUCUGUGGGUGGCGAGUGGCGGACGGGUGAGGAAUACAUGGGAAUCUGCCCAGUCGUGGGGGAUAACGUAGGGAAACUUACGCUAAUACCGCAUGCGCCCGUUCGGGGGAAAGCCGGGGACCUUCGGGCCUGGCGCGAUUGGAUGAGCCCAUGUCGGAUUAGCUAGUUGGCGGGGUAACGCCCACAAGGCGACGA